rfam:Pseudogymnoascus pannorum VKM F-4520 (FW-2644) contig_2197, whole genome shotgun sequence.
CCAGCUUCCUUUGCCAAAUGGCUUAGAUCAAGUGUAGUAUCUGUUCUUUUCAGUUUAAUCGCUGAAACUGUCCCCCACAAACGGACGGACCAAAAUCACACGAUUAACCAAUUUUUACAACGCGAUCCCAGGACGCGUUGGGGGCUAGCUCUCAGUGUCCUGGGAUAGGGUGUCUCUGGUAUCACACUGCUUCCAGAUGACGCGAACGGGC